CAUUUGAGUUUAAAAGAACAGAAAAGCUCGGAUCAUUAAACUAACGAGCUAGCUCGGCUCAUCUUAUUUAUCAGCCCAAGUUGGUUUGUUCAGCUCCUGGGCUCAAAUAGACAUUGACAAAAAAAUCCGAAAGAAAUAUCGGCGGUAGACUAUAUAGCUCCUAAUCUAACCCUAGUCAAGAAAAAUAAUUAAGGCCCUGUUUGGGACAGCUCCAGCUCCACAAAAUUUGGUGGAGCAGGUCAUUAGGUGCUCCAAAAAAUCGUGAAACUGGAGCCAUAAGCUUUUAAAAGACAUUUAGAUAAGUCAUUUUGUUUAUUAUUUCGAUUGAAAAUAUUUUUAAAACUAUUAAAAUUGAUAUUAUAAACUACAGCUCCACACUGGAGCUGGAAUCUGGAGCCAUCCCAAACACUCCCUAAAAUCCAAUUGCCCAGACAUACCAUAAACCACUGGAAUUGUUGAAUCAUAACAUAAAUCAAAUAGAAAAAUUGAAUCGACUUCUACGCAUGGCGAGGUCAUGCCACCUCCUAUGCGCCCAAGAUAAUGCUGCUAGUCUUUUGAGCGACAUCCUUGGAUCCAUGCUCGACAGUCCUAGGCUUAGUAACUAGGUUCCCAGAUCGAUGGGAUCGAGGAACGGGAACGUGGUACACGGUACACUACUAAAAUUAGGUUUUAACACUACGGGAACGGGAUUGUUCCCACGUUCCCGGAACGAACGUUCC
rnacentral:lncRNA from 1 species